rnacentral:rRNA from 1 species
CAGGCUUAACACAUGCGAGUCGAGGGGCAGCAUGGUCUUAGCUUGCUAAGGCCGAUGGCGACCGGCGCACGGGUGAGUAACAUGUAUCCAACCUGCCGUCUACUCUUGGACAGCCUUCUGAAAGGAAGAUUAAUACAAGAUGGCAUCAUGAGUCCGCAUGUUCACAUGAUUAAAGGUAUUCCGGUAGACGAUGGGGAUGCGUUCCAUUAGAUAGUAGGCGGGGUAACGGCCCACCUAGUCUUCGAUGGAUAGGGGUUCUGAGAGGAAGGUCCCCCACAUUGGAACUGAGACACGGUCCAAACUCCUACGGGAGGCAGCAGUGAGGAAUAUUGGUCAAUGGGCGAGAGCCUGAACCAGCCAAGUAGCGUGAAGGAUGACUGCCCUAUGGGUUGUAAACUUCUUUUAUAAAGGAAUAAAGUCGGGUAUGCAUACCCGUUUGCAUGUACUUUAUGAAUAAGGAUCGGCUAACUCCGUGCCAGCAGCCGCGGUAAUACGGAGGAUCCGAGCGUUAUCCGGAUUUAUUGGGUUUAAAGGGAGCGUAGAUGGAUGUUUAAGUCAGUUGUGAAAGUUUGCGGCUCAACCGUAAAAUUGCAGUUGAUACUGGAUAUCUUGAGUGCAGUUGAGGCAGGCGGAAUUCGUGGUGUAGCGGUGAAAUGCUUAGAUAUCACGAAGAACUCCGAUUGCGAAGGCAGCCUGCUAAGCUGCAACUGACAUUGAGGCUCGAAAGUGUGGGUAUCAAACAGGAUUAGAUACCCUGGUAGUCCACACGGUAAACGAUGAAUACUCGCUGUUUGCGAUAUACGGCAAGCGGCCAAGCGAAAGCGUUAAGUAUUCCACCUGGGGAGUACGCCGGCAACGGUGAAACUCAAAGGAAUUGACGGGGGCCCGCACAAGCGGAGGAACAUGUGGUUUAAUUCGAUGAUACGCGAGGAACCUUACCCGGGCUUAAAUUGCAGAUGAAUUACGGUGAAAGCCGUAAGCCGCAAGGCAUCUGUGAAGGUGCUGCAUGGUUGUCGUCAGCUCGUGCCGUGAGGUGUCGGCUUAAGUGCCAUAACGAGCGCAACCCUUGUUGUCAGUUACUAACAGGUUCCGCUGAGGACUCUGACAAGACUGCCAUCGUAAGAUGUGAGGAAGGUGGGGAUGACGUCAAAUCAGCACGGCCCUUACGUCCGGGGCUACACACGUGUUACAAUGGGGGGUACAGAGGGCCGCUACCACGCGAGUGGAUGCCAAUCCCAAAAACCUCUCUCAGUUCGGACUGGAGUCUGCAACCCGACUCCACGAAGCUGGAUUCGCUAGUAAUCGCGCAUCAGCCACGGCGCGGUGAAUACGUUCCCGGGCCUUGUACACACCGCCCGUCAAGCCAUGGGAGCCGGGGGUACCUGAAGUGCGUAACCGCGAGGAGCGCCCUAGGGUAAAACUGGUGACUGG